GACAGAGGUGCCGAGCGUUAGGCGGAAUCACUGGGCUUAAAGCGUGUGUAGGCGGAGGCCUAAGUACCUUGUGAAAUCCCACGGCUCAACCGUGGAACUGCUUGGUAUACUGGGUCUCUUGAGCCACCUAGGGGCAAGUGGAACAAACGGUGGAGCGGUGAAAUGCGUAGAUAUCAAGAGGAACACCUGAGGUGAAGACGGGUUGCUGGGCUGAUACUGACGCUGAGGCGCGAAAGCUAGGGUAGCAAACGGG
rnacentral:rRNA from 1 species